ensembl:lncRNA novel transcript, antisense to LTBP1
UCCUUUCUAGUGCUUGUCUCAAAUCUGUGAGUUUGCAUUUAUCUGUGAGAUGUUUGAGUGCAUGUCAGUCUCCCCCACCAGACAAGACAGGGUCUCACUGUCACUCGGGCUGGAGAGCAGUGGCACAAUCAUAGCUCACUGAAACCUUGAACUCCUGGACUCAAGCGAUCCUCCCACCUCAGCCUUCAAGUAGCUGAGAUUACAGGCACACACCCCACGAAGCCCAGAGAGGCAGAUAUUGAGGUGAAAAAUAAUGAGAGCAUGAAGAUGGAAAAUAAUCCCAAAAGAGCCAGUGAAAGGAAGAGGCAAAGAGCCUGUGAAUCUAGGAAGCAGAAAGAGCUUGGAUAAACUGGUGUCACGCACUGAGUGUGGGAAGGAAACAAGAACCAGGCAAGGUGCCUACCAACCCUGCACAUCACCGUCAUGUGUGCUGAACACUCUCAGCUGACUCACCCUCACAACGGCCUCUCUGAGUCAUGCGGUACCCGCUGUCACAGUAUUCACACCGGAAGGCCCCCACAGUAUUGACACAGUGCCCCUCCCCACAGACGUCCGGCCUCAGGCAUUCGUCAACAUCUACGAAGAGCAGAUAGCAUUGUUGAGUUUUGUGUUCCAAAUACUGUUUCAAACCUCUCCCAUCUCCCAGCUUAGCUCAAAUAUAAUAACGAAGUAACUGAUUUCUUUUUUUUUUUGAGAUGGAGUUUCGCUCUUGUUGCCCAGGCUGGAGUGCAAUGGUGUGAUCUCGGCUCACUGCAACCUCCACCUCCUGGGUUUAAGCAAUUCUCCUGCCUCAGCCUCCCAAGUAGCUGGGAUUACAGGCAUGCACCACCAUGCCUGGCUAAUUCUGUAUUUUUAGUAGAGACAGGGUUUCUCCAAGUUGGUCAGGCUGGUCUCAAACUCCCGACCUCAGGUGAUCCGCCAGGCUCGGCCUCCCAAAGUGCUGGGAUUACAGGUGUGGGCCAUGGCGCCUGGCCAGUAACUGAUUUCUACUUUCCCUUUGAUUUGUUUGACACACAUCAAAAUCAUCCAGUUUUGAUUCAUGCAGGGUGGUCCAAAAGUAACAUUUAAUGUAUCUUGUCUAUGCACAUAUAUGACACUCUUUCUUCAAAAAUGUUAGGGGAAAAAAAUCCAUUUUUAUAUCACCUGGGAUCUAGCAGACUGCUGUCAUGAUAAUUGUUUAAUAAAAAAUUCUGGGUUGUCUGGAUAAGCACUGAACUGAUGAUAGUCUUAGGGGAUCUAAAAACUCAGAUCUAAGAAUUUGUAAGCAGGAAGAAUGCUGCCAUUACCUAUGCAGUUAGUACCCUCCUCACUGGCCAUAAAUCCUGCUGGGCAAAUGCACAAGAAACUUCCCUCGGUGUUUUCACAGCGGCCCUGGGAGCAGAGGUGUUGGACCUGAGUACACUCAUCAAUAUCUGUUAACAAAAAUACAUAUAAAAAUAUUAGUUCUGUGUAGCAAGAACUUAGUUUCCCUGUUCUGUAAAAUACCAUCAUACUAUUCCCUGGGUACCACCCAACCUUUAUAACUGAGGACAACAGCAAAAGGAGACACGAUCUUUCUCCUCGCGUACUUGAAGGAUUGUUCCUGGAAGAGAGAAGCAGCCUACUGUGUAUCACUUCAAAGGCUAAAACUACAAAACCAUGACACUGGUGUUUCAAAGAGGCAGAUUUCAGGUCAACACAGAAGGAUUCUCCUGAUAACGAGAGACAUCCAAGCAAUGGAAUUUGCUGUCAGUAGGGAGUCAGAAAUGCCAUGAAAGAGACUCUUCCUCCGUGCAUGUGGAUGGAGUUGGAUUAGGUCAUCUCUGUUGCCUUUCUAACUUAAUAUUCUAGGUUCUGAAAGUGACACAUAUAAUGUAUACAAAUGACAAGGAAAUAGCCAAAUUAUGGACCAGGUGGCUGUCUCCUUUCUCCC